CCAGACUCCUACGGGAGGCAGCAGUGGGGAAUAUUGCACAAUGGGGGGAACCCUGAUGCAGCGACGCCGCGUGGGCGAGGAAGUAUUUCGGUAUGUAAAGCCCUAUCGGCAGGGAAGAAGAAAUGACGGUACCUGAAGAAGAAGCCCCGGCUAACUACGUGCCAGCAGCCGCGGUAAUACGUAGGGGGCAAGCGUUAUCCGGAUUUACUGGGUGUAAAGGGGGCGCAGACGGCGAUGCAAGCCAGGAGUGAAAGCCCGGGGCCCAACCCCGGGACUGCUCUUGGAACUGCGUGGCUGGAGUGCAGGAGGGGCAGGCGGAAUUCCUGGUGUAGCGGUGAAAUGCGUAGAUAUCAGGAGGAACACCGGUGGCGAAGGCGGCCUGCUGGACUGCAACUGACGUUGAGGCCCGAAAGCGUGGGGAGCAAACAGGAUUAGAUACCCGUGUAUA
rnacentral:rRNA from 1 species